GCCUGGGUGGCUCAGUGGUUGAGCACUGCCUUCGGCCCAGGGCAUGAUCCUGGAGACCUGGGAUCGAGUCCCACCUCAGGCU
rnacentral:tRNA from 1 species